rnacentral:rRNA from 1 species
GAUGAACGCUGGCGGCGUGCCUAAUACAUGCAAGUCGAGCGAAGCGGGGACGGGUGAGUAACACGUGGAUAACCUCCUCUAAGACUGGGAUAACUUCGGUAAACCGGAGCUAUACCGGAUACUUAUAGAUUGCUCCGCGCUGCAUUAGCUAGUUGGUAAGGUAACGGCUUACCAAGGCGACGAUGCAUAGCCGACCUGAGAGGGUGAUCGGCCACACUGGAACUGAGACACGGUCCAGACUCCUACGGGAGGCAGCAGUGGGGAAUCUUCCGCAAUGGACGAAAGCCUGACGGAGCAACGCCGCGUGAGUGAAGAAGGUCUUCGGAUCGUAAAACUCUGUUAUUAGGGAAGCGGUACCUAAUCAGAAAGCCACGGCUAACUACGUGCCAGCAGCCGCGGUAAUAC